UGAAGAUCAACUGCAGCAGUCUUCCAUGACAACUUUGGUUCUAUUAGAGAUUGGAACUUUAGUUCCCACUCUCACAUUGUGGACCCAUUGGUUUUAAAAAGCAUAGUUUGUAGGGAUGCCAUUCAAUUGGUAGUGGCUAGAGGAUACAAAAGGGUUCAAUUUGAAGGGGACUAUUUAACUUUAAUUCAGGCCUUGCAUGACUCUCACCCUCCUUUGGAUAUUUCAACAAUUGUGCAAGAUAUUUGGCUCCCUAGUGUCCAAUUAGAUUUAGUUACUUUUCAUUUUGUG
rnacentral:misc_RNA from 1 species